rnacentral:rRNA from 1 species
GACGAACGCUGGCGGCGCGCCUAACACAUGCAAGUCGAGCGAGAACCAGGGCUUCGGCCCUGGGGACAGCGGCGAACGGGUGAGUAACACGUGGAUAACCUGCCCUCGGCACCGGAAUAGCCCGGGGAAACCCGGAUUAAUGCCGGAUGGCCCCACAUCCCUGCGGGGAACGUGGGAAAAGGUAGCUUCGGCCUCUGGCCGAUGAUGGGUCCGCGGUGGAUUAGCUUGUUGGUGGGGUAAAGGCCCACCAAGGCGACGAUCCAUAGCUGGUCUGAGAGGACGAUCAGCCACACUGGGACUGAGACACGGCCCAGACUCCUACGGGAGGCAGCAGUGGGGAAUCUUGCGCAAUGGGCGAAAGCCUGACGCAGCGACGCCGCGUGCGGGAAGAAGGCCUUCGGGUUGUAAACCGCUUUCAGGAGGGACGAAGCCACUCGGGUGGACAGCCCAGAGGGUGACGGUACCUCCAGAAGAAGCCCCGGCUAACUACGUGCCAGCAGCCGCAGUAAUAC